rnacentral:rRNA from 1 species
UAAGGGAGCUCUGUGGAGCGGGGGUAGAGGUGGUGGGUGUGGUCGGUUCCCCGUGUGCCAGAGGGGGGGGGCGGAGGCGCGCUAGGUUAGCGGAGCGGCAGCGGCGGCGGGCGGCGGCGGCGGCGGUACAGGAAGGAGCGCGCCCGCGAGGCGGUGAGCUUCGGCAUGGACGGCAGCGCGCCGGGGCGCAGGACGGCGACCUAGAGCAGCUGCGGGCGGCGCCCGAGCGGGCUCCGGCCGCGCCGGCACCGCGGGCGGCUGGGCCUCGACGGGGGCGGCGCCCUCGGGCAGCCCCCGCGCGCGCAGCUCGACGGCGGGUUGGGCCUCCUGCGCGAGCUCCACAAGCAGCUGCCCGUGCGGCACGCCUAGGGGUUCCCGAAGAGGCACGAGGUCCGGACGCUCCAGCGGCCGCAGCUGUAGGGCGCGAAGACGAUGGUGUCGGCGGAGAGGUAGCGGCCGUUGACGGCGUACACGGAGCAGCUCCAGCUCUUCAGCGGGUUCGGGCAGCGGAGGACGCGGUACGGGCGGGAGGGUCCCUACUUCUAAUUCUGCUUGUGUGGUUAGCGCUUCUUCCGUUCCCUCCCUCAGUACCUCAAGAACAACUACUUGGUAGGCGACCUAACGGGUUAGACGCUAGUCCCACCCCUCACACUGGACGUCCUAGUCAGGUACCGGAAACCCCGACUGGCGCCAGCAAAGUGGCUAUACUUCUCCAGCCAACACCUAUUCUUAAACCCGGGUAACCACUUCUGCCACUACUGGGCAACGUAGGUCACGUGUUCCACACAGUCCAAACGUAGACUCCAACGACCACAAGUCCUGGACCCAUACAAUCCGGCACCGUCACCACUUCUUUAGCCUUGUAUACACCCCUUUGAAUACUGUUCACUUGAUAGACCUUUGCAAUAACUAUAGACGGGGCAACCGCGAGAAUGUAGGUUCGGUAAACGCAAAUUUCGAUCUUUGACCCUCUACUUCCCGUGACUCUGAUAACUACAAUGACUACGUCAUCCCAGGUUGUAUGCGCAACUGUCGUCUCCAGGACUUCAAUACGCGUAACAAGGAGCAGAGUUACUCCUAUAGUUGCUUCUUACCUAUAGACUGUUUUGUGCCAAAACAAUACUACCAAACUUCUCCGUUUCUGACUUGCUGGGAUACUAAGCACCAGGACUACCGUCCAAGUUCCGUCACUGUACCGCACUACGAUAACGCCAACAACGACUCCAAAACUUAGUUCAGUUCGGUCUUCUUUAAUGGCCUCAGCGACCGUUUGAAAGACUACGUCUUAGGUACUACCGCGACUUUCUAAAACAAUUAUUUUACCCAAGCCUAUUCCACGAGACACUCCCCUUACCAGGCUUAGGUGGUCGUCUAUAAGCUAGUCUGAUGGAUUACUUAUGAUCGUAACGACCAGAACUCUUUCGACUACAGAAGGAAAACCAACCGUGUGUCGGUUCCCACCUUCGACGAUACCACUUGCGUUCCUAAGUCUUCUGACAAUCUCGUUGUGUUCGUUUCCACCCGAUGUAACCAGGAGGUCGUCUGAAGUUGAUACUGUGAACCGUAGAACCGUGUCCCGGUCUAUGGGAACAACUCUAGCGACUCCCGGCUGUAGGAAAGACAAGUUAUGACUUCAGACGUUUCUUGGGUCAUUAGUAGCGACCUCGACCCAAUAAACUUGCUCUUCUGGUUCCACGACACAAGAGUCGUUAACUUUGGCAUCGGUUCUUCAAGUUACACUGUUCUGGCCUGACCUUGCCGGAAUUACAGGAUAACGAGGUACGACGUGUCCGGCGUCGAGAACUAGACCCGGAGCAACGAUUAGGGUGGCUCUCACAGUUCAGACGUUUCAAGGAAAUGGACUACCCUCGGCUGCUACAUUUGGACCUGUUGGAAGGUCGCCUACGUAAACACCAAAUGGUCCCCGUGGUACCACUGUUCCGGCACAUGUCCCGGUUACAAUAAGACGGUAGAAGUCGUAAAUCGCUCUUUCUUCCGUGGAUACUCUUGUGGCUCCCUACGUGGGUCACCUGGUAGGGUCGACACGGAUGUCAACCACUACGGUCCCUACUGACCUUCUAGCAGGCACGAGAAAGGCUCCAACGGCCCCGAGGUGACGGAAUGCUGUCGCAGCGUCGACACUCCUCGGCCUAGUCGUACCACCGGGGUUUAGAACACGCGCAGCUGCUCUCCCUCGGUAGCCACUAGAGACGGCUCCACUUCGGAGGUCAUUUCGUCGUUCACUCGGGCCGCGGUAAGUUUCGACGGCACCUCUUGAAGAUGUACUGGCUGCGCUAGUGUGCCCGAAGGUUCUAGUACCGAGUCACGUCGCGUUGGAACAACUUCUUCACUCUGGGACGAGAUACAUGCAGGGGAACUUCUUCAAUUUAGUAGCCGUAUGCUCUAAAAUCAACGAAAAGGUAAAGUGAGUGGUCAACAACAACGAACCAACCAACCCUCGUAUUUUAAACCUGACGGAGAUGGGAUCGAUCUAGGCUCCUCGUCGCUUUGAACUUUCGUCACGUAAAAAGACAUUGCACACUCUUCGCCUCGUAUGAAUUAUUCGAACAAAACAGGAAAACUUAAUCUGCCGUCGGCGUUCGUUUAUUAAAACAACAUAAAACCCAAAAGCGGACGAGCAAAGGGCCAAGGUCCUACGUCCGUUUACAUCGACAUACACGUUUAAUUCCAUAUGGGGGUAAAAUAGUAAGUGACCACACAACUUACCGUGUAUCGAAACCUGGAAGGAGAGCAACAAGAAAGAAACUUACCAAAUAGGCCUACGAGACAGUUACGACGUACGAACACGACCGUUUCUACUCGCACUCUGGUAACGUGUAACCGUUUAUUAAAGAACAGUCCCUCUAGGAACGACACGACGAUGGGAACGCUCAUGGUGGUUCGUUUUGUUCCGAGCAUGGCGCGGAAUAGGAGGGUUGUGUUGGAUGCGAGUAGCGCGGCGCGAGGUCGUGGCACUCGUACCGCAACGUGACGCGACGGCGGCAGUCGCAGAGCGGCAGGUGGCCGGUCACGGAGGACGUAGCAGUUGUGGUGGCGGCCACACGACACGGUUCCGGUGCCAAGGCCGGCGUCGGUGCGCCGGACUGUUGGUGGCCACCGGGACGGGCCACCCGCACGCCGCGGUCCUCCGCCCACUCCAUGCUCCUUCUCCUACUCCUGCUCCUCCUCAUGCCCGUGUUGCUCCUCUACCGCGCCGACCUCCGGAUGUCGCUCCCUCGCGCGCUGCACCGGGAGGACCAGUGCCGGCGGCAGCUGCCGCUCGAGCUCGGGCACGAGCAGAAGUUCCCGAAGAGCAGCUCGGACUCGCCCU